rnacentral:rRNA from 1 species
GGGAUCGGCCCGCGUUGGAUUAGGUAGUUGGUGGGGUAAUGGCCUACCAAGCCGACGAUCCAUAGCUGGUUUGAGAGGAUGAUCAGCCACACUGGGACUGAGACACGGCCCAGACUCCUACGGGAGGCAGCAGUGGGGAAUCUUAGACAAUGGGCGCAAGCCUGAUCUAGCCAUGCCGCGUGAGCGAUGAAGGCCUUAGGGUUGUAAAGCUCUUUCAGGGGGGAAGAUAAUGACUGUACCCCCAGAAGAAGCCCCGGCUAACUCCGUGCCAGCAGCCGCGGUAAUACGGAGGGGGCUAGCGUUGUUCGGAAUUACUGGGCGUAAAGCGCACGUAGGCGGACGAGAAAGUCAGAGGUGAAAUCCCAGGGCUCAACCUUGGAACUGCCUUUGAAACUUCUUGUCUUGAGGUCGAGAGAGGUGAGUGAAAUUCCGAGUGUAGAGGUGAAAUUCGUA